UACGUAGGGAGCAAGCGUUGUCCGGAAUCAUUGGGCGUAAAGCGCGCGUAGGUGGCCCUGUAAGUCCGUUGUGAAAGUCAAAGGCUCAACCUUUGAAAGCCGAUGGAUACUGCAGGACUAGAGUACGGAAGAGGCGAGUGGAAUUCCUGGUGUAGCGGUGGAAUGCGCAGAUAUCAGGAGGAACACCAAUAGCGAAGGCAGCUCGCUGGGACGUUACUGACGCUGAGGCGCGAAAGCGUGGGGAGCGAACAGG
rnacentral:rRNA from 1 species